rnacentral:rRNA from 1 species
CAUGUAGGCGGCUUGUUAAGUCACGUGUGAAAGCCCCAGGCUCAACCUGGGAAGUGCGCGUGAAACUGGCGAGCUUGAAUCCUGGAGAGGGUGGCGGAAUUCCCGGUGUAGAGGUGAAAUUCGUAGAUAUCGGGAGGAACACCAGAGGCGAAGGCGGCCACCUGGACAGAGAUUGACGCUGAGACGCGAAAGCGUGGGGAGCAAACA